rnacentral:rRNA from 1 species
CUCGGAGUUUGAUCCUGGCUCAGGAUGAACGCUAGCGGCAGGCUUAACACAUGCAAGUCGAGGGGUAUAGUUCUUCGGAACUAGAGACCGGCGCACGGGUGCGUAACGCGUAUGCAAUCUACCUUUUACAGAGGGAUAGCCCAGAGAAAUUUGGAUUAAUGCCCCAUAGUAUAUAUCAUUCGCAUGUUUGAUAUAUUAAAGUUCCAACGGUAAAAGAUGAGCAUGCGUCCCAUUAGUU